CGCGGGGGCAGGGGGGCGUCGCGGGGGGAGGUGGGUUGGUACCUGCGCUGGAAAUCCUGCUCGAAGGGGGCCAGGAGAGAAAAAAUCACAGUGCAAUGUGCUCAUGAUUCAUGCUAAUGAUUACUUCCUUGUGUCAUGAUAUUACAUCAUUUCAUGGUGCAGCCUUCUCUAACUUGGGAGUCCCAAAAAAAAUACUGCCCGUCAUCAACACUGCACAACAGGGAAAAGCCCCAGGGGAAAGGAAGCUAGGCACUGCUGGUGUUGCCUGUGAGGCAGGUGAGUAAUCUUGGGGGGCUGUCCACACAGCAUGCUGCCUCUGGCCACAGGAGAGUUAUAGAGGGUUGUUCAAGAUUACAUUUGUGACAUUUGGGAUGCUUCAAAAGUUUUUUUUUUCUUUUUGGUUUUGCCCCUUAACAGUUUUACUUGUUUUUCUCUAUAAAAAAGCUGUUAUGGUAAGUAGUGCAAUAGCUAGAUGCAACCAUAUUCCCAGUCUCUUUUUUCAAAUAGCAUAUGACACAACCUUUAGUAAAAUAUAACUAUAGCUUUUGUUACAUCAUACCAAUUAAUUACUUGUCAUCAAAUAACACAAGACCAUAUCAAAGACAUUUACAGCAUUUUUAUUAUACUAUAUUGGUCCACUGAAUCAAGCGGGCAGUUGCAGGCAACUCUUCCUUUUGCUAGCAUCUUCAGUUAAAUUUAGUCAGGAACUGAAUGCAAGAAUGUAUUAUCUCUAUUACAAAGACUAAGCUACCGGCAUUUGCUCUUUUCAGUGCAGUUCUUUCAGUUAGCAAUAGUCUUAUGUCUUAAGAGUACAAGGAAUGACCUCUACAUUGUAGACAGAUUUUUUGAUUUCUCAAACUAUUCAGUUUAGAGUCCUCUUGACAAGUGAAGGUUUAAGUCCAGCUUCCUGAUGAAGAUUUUUAACACCUACAUAAUUUCAAAACAGUCUUUUUUGGACUCUUAAUAUAUAGCAAGUUAGGAAAAAGUUCUCAUUUGCAUAGGCUCAGGCAGUUCAGUACAUUGAUGUUAUGCCACAUCCAAGACUACUUAACUGCCACACAUGCUAAAAUUUAUCAUUAUUUUUGCACUUAUCUGCCAUCACGAGAUAUUUCUUGUGUUUCCAGACCCUUUGCAGCCCUUGCAAAAAACCAUCAGAAAUUGGUAGAUUAGAUUAAAUUUUUAAAAAUGCCUCUUUCAAGUUGCUAUUUCAACAAGUAAAUGUUCUGACAUAUGCAUCCUCAUGUGCCUAACUGGCUGGUUUAGGUCUUUGUGUAUGAUACGCUUAUAUUCAUUAUUUCCUUUCAUCUCUCUUCUGGUCUAAUCCUUCAAGUAAUCCCUACCACAAGGCUUUCCUUGAAUCAGAUGAGCCCUGCUCAUUUGAGAGGAAUUGUAAGCAAACUACGUAAUUAAUAAAGUUGUGUUUUAACAGAUGAACUUGGUUCCUUAGAUUCUAAAGGGUUUCUGUAUCCAGAAAACUGAAGUAUUGUCCUGACUUCUAAACUGAUUACAGAAGAUGGCAGUAUAUAGUUGCUACCCAGCAACUUCCCUAAAGGAUGACUGGUUACUACUUCUUUCUGAAA